GCGCUUGUAGUAUAGUGGUUAGUAUUUGAGCUUCCCAAGCUUGAGACCCGGGUUCGAGCCCCGGCAGGCGCA
rnacentral:tRNA from 1 species